UUGACCUCGGAUCAGGUAGGGAUACCCGCUGAACUUAAUCAUAUCUAUAA
rnacentral:rRNA from 1 species